AUAUGGUUACAUGCGCAAUUGUUAUUAACCCGCAGCCUGGCCGGUGCUUGCGAGGUAAAUUGCUCAGUAAUCUAACUUCGAGCAUAAUUUCCAGAUAGUUCAUCUUGAUAAGUUGGUUUAUAUCAAAGUUGGUUUAGCAAGAUAAUUAUUGUUUCUUAUGAGAACAAAGUUAUAUGAAUCAGUUUGAGAUACGUUGUAUACGAGAGUAUAUUCUCCCCUCACAAGUGGUUCAGGGUCAGGAACCAAAUAAUUUCAUCUUAUUAUUAAUGUGCUGUGUAUAUUGACANN
rnacentral:lncRNA from 1 species